GCCCAGGGCUCGGCCCUCGGUGCCCCGCGCCUGGAGCAGCCUCAGCGCUUGCAGGCGGGGAGGAGAGCGGCUCGGGGCCUCCAGACACAAAGAGCGGCGGCGAGACGCGGGUAGGAGCGGAGCGCACGCCCGCGCCCUUGGCCUGUCCCCGCGCGGGCGGGACCCGAAACGCCACAGACCAGGACUGCAAGGAAAACAGCAUAUGAAAAGAAGAAGGUUUCUGACAGUGGUAGAGAAGCAAACA
rnacentral:lncRNA from 1 species